rnacentral:rRNA from 1 species
CUUUGGGAUAACCCUCGGAAACGGGGGCUAAUACCGGAUAUUACCUUCUUCCGCAUGGUGGGGGGUGGAAAGUUUUUCGGCCUGGGAUGGGCUCGCGGCCUAUCAGCUUGUUGGUGGGGUGAUGGCCUACCAAGGCGACGACGGGUAGCCGGCCUGAGAGGGCGACCGGCCACACUGGGACUGAGACACGGCCCAGACUCCUACGGGAGGCAGCAGUGGGGAAUAUUGCACAAUGGGCGGAAGCCUGAUGCAGCGACGCCGCGUGAGGGAUGACGGCCUUCGGGUUGUAAACCUCUUUCAGCUCCGACGAAGCGGAAGUGACGGUAGGAGCAGAAGAAGCGCCGGCCAACUACGUGCCAGCAGCCGCGGUAGGACGUAGAGCGCGAGCGUUGUCCGGAUUUAUUGGGCGUAAAGAGCUCGUAGGCGGCUUGUCGCGUCGACUGUGAAGACCCGCGGCUCAACUGCGGGCCUGCAGUCGAUACGGGCAGGCUAGAGUUCGGUAGGGGAGACUGGAAUUCCUGGUGUAGCGGUGAAAUGCGCAGAUAUCAGGAGGAACACCGGUGGCGAAGGCGGGUCUCUGGGCCGAUACUGACGCUGAGGAGCGAAAGCGUGGGGAGCGAACAGGAUUAGAUACCCUGGUAGUCCACGCUGUAAACGUUGGGCGC